GUUGAUAGAGGUUGCGUGAUUUAUCAGUAGCAGGUUGGAUGCCGCAGGGGCAGAAGAAGAUUUGUGAAAGGGGAGAACGCCGAAAGGACACAUACCUGUAACUGUGUUACUUGGGCAUAAGGUGAAGAAUCUUAUGACUGUCAUCUUUUAGAUGGGGAGCUAUCGGU
rnacentral:ncRNA from 1 species